rnacentral:tRNA from 1 species
CUGGGUAUAGCUCAGUGGUAAAGCACUUGCCUAGCAUGUGCAAGACCCUGGAAUCAAUCCCCAGUGUGCUAGG